rfam:Salmo salar isolate Sally breed double haploid chromosome ssa22, whole genome shotgun sequence.
UCCACACGAUACUGUAAGUCGCUCUGGAUAAGAGCGUCUGUUAAAUUACAAAAU